rnacentral:rRNA from 1 species
GGCCCCGCACAAGCAGCGGAGCGUGUGGUUUAAUUCGAUGCUACACGAAGAACCUUACCAGGGUUUGACAUGCAAGUGGUAGGAAACCGAAAGGUGACCGACUCUUCGGAGAGCUUGCACAGGUGCUGCAUGGCUGUCGUCAGCUCGUGUCGUGAGAUGUUCGGUUAAGUCCGCUAACGAGCGCAACCCUCGCUGUGUGUUACAAGUGUCACACGGUACUGCCGGUCUUAAGCCGGAGGAAGGUGGGGAUGACGUCAAGUCAGCAUGGCCUUUAUAUCCUGGGCUACACACACGCUACAAUGGCCAACACAAUAGGUUGCUAAACCGCGAGGUGGAGCCAAUCCAAAAAAGUUGGUCUCAGUUCAGAUUGUAGGCUGCAACUCGCCUGCAUGAAGAUGGAGUUGCUAGUAAACGCAGGUCAGCUAUACUGCGUUGAAUACGUUCCCGGGGCUUGUACACACCGCCCGUCACGUCAUGGAAGUUGGCAACACCUGAAGCCGGUAUCCUAACCGUAAGGAGGGAGCCGUCGAAGGUGGGGUCGAUAACUGGGACGAAGUCGUAACAAGGUAGGUGUACCGGAAGGUGCGCCU